rnacentral:rRNA from 1 species
AUUGAACGCUGGCGGCGUGCCUAACACAUGCAAGUCGAGCGGUAACAGGUGUAGCAAUACAUGCUGACGAGCGGCGAACGGGUGAGUAAUGCUUCGGAAUCUACCCAAUGGUGGGGAAUAACCAGCCGAAAGGUUGGCUAAUACCGCAUACGUCCCACGGGAGAAAGCAGGGGAUCGCAAGACCUUGCGCCAAUGGAUGAGCCGAAGUCGGAUUAGCUAGUUGGAGGGUAACGGCCUACCAAGGCGACGAUCCGUAGCUGGUCUGAGAGGACGACCAGCCACACUGGGACUGAGACACGGCCCAGACUCCUACGGGAGGCAGCAGUGGGGAAUAUUGGACAAUGGGGGAAACCCUGAUCCAGCGACGCCGCGUGUGUGAAGAAGGCCUGCGGGUUGUAAAGCACUUUUAGUGGGAUGAAAUGUUCAGGGUUAACACCUCUGGUAUUUGACCUAACCCACAAGAAAAGCACCGGCUAACUCUGUGCCA